rnacentral:misc_RNA from 1 species
AGUUCAUGGGAGGACAUUUGGAGUGUGGACUCUCCUAACCUGCACUCUUUGCUAUCUCUGUGCAUUUAACCUUCAUGACAGACCUUUGUAUUUGGCAACCAUUUUAUCAUUUGUCUAUGCCUUCGGUCAUUUCUUGACAGAGUUCUUGAUCUAUCAGACAAUGGAAAUAAAAAAUUUGGUUACUGUCGGUAUAUUUGCAGGCACAUCUAUCGUUUGGAUGUUGUUGCAGUGGAAUGCACACCAACAGGUCAAAACUAAGAGUCCAUAGACCCGAAUCAACAGCAGUGGCUUGAAGCAGAUUUUAUCGGGUGUUACUCCUCUCAACCUAUGCCUUUGCUGCUGCAAUUUUAGGCCUUCGAGUUUUAGUGUGUAAACAUUGGUUUCAUGGUUGAGUUCUGAAAGAAACUUCUUGGCCACAAUUUCUUAUUCUAAUGUCUCAAUGCCAGUUUUUCUUCUGAUUGGCUUUUGUAACGAUUCGAAGGAUUCUCUAUAUUUCAAACUUCUUUUU